rnacentral:rRNA from 2 species
UCGGAGAGUUUGAUCCUGGCUCAGGAUGAACGCUGGCGGCGUGCCUAAUACAUGCAAGUCGAGCGAACUGAUUAGAAGCUUGCUUCUAUGACGUUAGCGGCGGACGGGUGAGUAACACGUGGGCAACCUGCCUGUAAGACUGGGAUAACUUCGGGAAACCGAAGCUAAUACCGGAUAGGAUCUUCUCCUUCAUGGGAGAUGAUUGAAAGAUGGUUUCGGCUAUCACUUACAGAUGGGCCCGCGGUGCAUUAGCUAGUUGGUGAGGUAACGGCUCACCAAGGCAACGAUGCAUAGCCGACCUGAGAGGGUGAUCGGCCACACUGGGACUGAGACACGGCCCAGACUCCUACGGGAGGCAGCAGUAGGGAAUCUUCCGCAAUGGACGAAAGUCUGACGGAGCAACGCCGCGUGAGUGAUGAAGGCUUUCGGGUCGUAAAACUCUGUUGUUAGGGAAGAACAAGUACAAGAGUAACUGCUUGUACCUUGACGGUACCUAACCAGAAAGCCACGGCUAACUACGUGCCAGCAGCCGCGGUAAUACGUAGGUGGCAAGCGUUAUCCGGAAUUAUUGGGCGUAAAGCGCGCGCAGGCGGUUUCUUAAGUCUGAUGUGAAAGCCCACGGCUCAACCG